rnacentral:rRNA from 1 species
GACAGAGGUGCCGAGCGUUAGGCGGAAUCACUGGGCUUAAAGCGUGUGUAGGCGGACCGUUAAGUGUCUUGUGAAAUCCCCCGGCUCAACCGGGGAAUUGCUGGGCAUACUGGCGGUCUUGAGCAGUCUAGGGGCAGAUGGAACAAGUGGUGGAGCGGUGAAAUGCGUAGAUAUCACUUGGAACGCCAAAGGUGAAGACAGUCUGCUGGGGACUUACUGACGCUGAGGAGCGAAAGCGUGGGGAGCGAACAGG